rnacentral:rRNA from 1 species
UACGGAGGGAGCUAGCGUUGUUCGGAAUUACUGGGCGUAAAGCGCACGUGGGCGGCUUUGUAAGUUAGAGGUGAAAGCCCGGGGCUCAACUCCGGAACUGCCUUUAAGACUGCAUCGCUUGAAUCCAGGAGAGGUGAGUGGAAUUCCGAGUGUAGAGGUGAAAUUCGUAGAUAUUCGGAAGAACACCAGUGGCGAAGGCGGCUCACUGGACUGGUAUUGACGCUGAGGUGCGAAAGCGUGGGGAGCAAACAGG